UAGAUUGAAGCCAGUUGUUUAUGGUAUUUAGCUGUUAACUAAAAGUUCGUAGAAUAAAAGUCUACCAAUCUAG
rnacentral:tRNA from 2 species